rnacentral:rRNA from 1 species
CCCAGGGGACGUGGAUAACCUCGGGAAACUGAGGAUAAACCGCGAUAGGCCAAGGUUUCUGGAAUGGACACUGGCUGAAACCUAUAUGGCCCCUGGAUUGGACUGCGGCCGAUCAGGCUGUUGGUGAGGUAAUGGCCCACCAAACCUGUAACCGGUACGGGCUUUGAGAGAAGGAGCCCGGAGAUGGGCACUGAGACAAGGGCCCAGGCCCUAUGGGGCGCAGCAGGCGCGAAAAUUCUGCAAUAGGCGAAAGCUUGACAGAGUUACUCUGAGUGAUGCCCGCUAAGGGCAUCUUUUGGCACCUCUAAAAAUGGUGCAGAAUAAGGGGUGGGCAAGUCUGGUGUCAGCCGCCGCGGUAAUACCAGCACCCCGAGUGGUCGGGACGAUUAUUGGGCCUAAAGCAUCCGUAGCUUGUUCUGCAAGUCUUCCGUUAAAUCCACCUGCUCAACAGAUGGGCUGCGGGAGAUACUACAGGGCUAGGAGGCGGGAGAGGCAAGCGGUACUCAGUGGGUAGGGGUAAAAUCCUCUGAUCCACUGAAGACCACCAGUGGCGAAGGCGGCUUGCCAGAACGCGCUCGACGGUGAGGGAUGAAAGCUGGGGGAGCAAACCGGAUUAGAUACCCGGGUAGUCCCAGCUGUAAAC